rnacentral:lncRNA from 1 species
ACAAAGCACAACACAACAAUUGUGUAUAUAUAGAAUAAUGAGAAAAGGCAACCUCAACAUACGAUGCGGACGAGAAAAGAGCAAUUGAUGAUAGACUGAUACCCACCACCAGUACCACAGUCCACGCUCCUUUUCUUUUCUUUUUUUCCCUCCUUUGUAUUGCACAAAUCAGUGAGCGUGCAGUCGAUAAAGACACACUUUCGGGACCUUCUUUGAUCAUGGAGGCCACAAGGCAAGAGCUAGGGUUCUAGGAAAAGUUGGAACCCCUUUUAUACCAGUCAAAAAACAACAGACACUAUUUUACAACUAACCCCAAACAAGAACCAAUUUUUUUCCAAGAAAACAAAUGUCUUCAUCUCCUUUAAUAUGCACCACUACUGUGUGAUCCACGAAAUCACCAUGCAGUUCGUUUGACUUUAAUUCGUAUCAACUUCUACUACUUUUUAUCUAGAGUGAAUUGUAGCUACAGUAGUCCGAACAACUAGACCCGUGUAACAAAAAAGCAAGGGACGUCACGAAAUUACAUGGAAAUAGAAGUAUGAAAGGCUGGAGAUCGAAGCUCAAGAUUGACUAGUUCACGUGUUUUGAGCGUACGAUCUCUCUUCACGCUUACGCAAUUUGCGCCUCGGAUCAUGCGCACCUUUUUUUUCUAGAGAAAAAAAAAUACUCUUCAACAACAACAAAACAAAAACCGAGAUGAUACUCUUUUCACAGGACGUAGUGCUACUGCUGCACGACUCCUCCGAUCUACCCUCCAAGGGCUUGUUCGGUUAUUUUCAAUCCAUAUGGAUUGGAGGGGAUUGAUAUGGAUUGAGAGAGAUUUUGACUUGCUAGGGAUUAAAACCCCUUCAAUCCCCCUCAAUCCAUAUGGAUUGGGGUAGAACCGAACAAGCCCCAAAGGAGAAGAAACGGAAGAGGGGGGGGGGGGGAGGGGGGAGAAGAAAGUUCUCUGCCAGCUGCUACGAGCUAGAAGCUGCUGGGCGCCCGGCCGGAGAAGGCCAUGGCGAAGAGGAGGAUGACGAGGUAGAAGAGGAUGACGACGAGCUUCAUCUGGAACAUGGCGAAGAAGAGCUUCACCAUGAACACCAGCAGCAGCGCGUCGAAUAUGAUCGUUAUGGCCACCUCCAGAGGCUCCAUCGCCGCCGACCAGACCACCAGCAAAGGUGAGAUCAACACUCUCUCAGCUGGGACGGACCAAGAAAACAAAACGAGAAAUCGGUAAAGGUGGAUGGGAC